UUAACAUCUUCACUUGAUUUGC
rnacentral:miRNA from 1 species